GCGCUUCCGUCGCCCGGGAGGAAGGGGCGUGGCGGCGCCUGCGCACGGCCCCGGGUGCCGACUCGCGGCGCGUGGAGGGCUCUGAGCCACGCGCUUGCCUGCGAUCCCGGCGGCUGCAGCGGCGCCCCGUGCUCGCGGGUCAUGUCGUGGCUCUUCGGCAUCAAGGGCCCCAAGGGCGAAGGCGCGGGGCCGCCGCUGUCCCUGCCGCCCGCGCAGCCCGGGGCCGACGGCGGCGGGGACCGCGGUGCGGGGGACCGGCCGGCGCCCAAGGACAAAUGGAGCAACUUCGAUCCGACGGGCCUCGAGCGCGCGGCCAAGGCGGCGCGGGAGCUGGAGCACUCGCGACAUGCCAAGGAGGCGCUGAGUCUCGCACAGAUGCAGGAGCAGACGCUGCAGCUGGAGCAGCAGUCCAAGCUCAAGGAGUACGAGGCUGCUGUGGAGCAGCUGAAGAGCGAGCAGAUCCGUGUGCAGGCCGAGGAGAGGAGGAAGACCCUGGGUGAGGAGACCCGGCAGCACCAAGCUCGGGCCCAGUACCAGGACAAGCUGGCUCGGCAGCGCUAUGAGGACCAGCUGAAGCAGCAGCAACUUCUUAACGAGGAGAAUUUACGGAAGCAGGAGGAGUCUGUGCAGAAGCAGGAGGCCAUGCGGCAAGCCACCAUGGAGCGGGAGAUGGAGCUGCGGCACAAGAAUGAGAUGCUGCGGGUCGAGGCUGAGGCGCGCGCCCGGGCCAAGGCUGAGCGUGAGAAUGCGGACAUUACCCGUGAGCAGAUCCGCCUGAAGGCUGCUGAGCACCGCCAGACCAUCCUGGAGUCCAUCAGGAUGGCUGGCACCCUGUUUGGUGAAGGAUUCCGUGCCUUUGUGACAGACUGGGACAAAGUGACAGCCACGGUGGCUGGCCUCACCCUGCUGGCUGUUGGGAUCUACUCCGCCAAGAAUGCCACGUCCGUGGCUGGACGGUACAUCGAGGCGCGGCUGGGGAAGCCCUCCCUGGUGAGGGAGACCUCUCGAAUCACUGCGCUGGAGGCCUUGAGGCACCCGCUGCAGGUCAGCAGGCGGCUGCUCAGUAAGCCCCAGGAUGCGGUGGAGGGCGUCAUCCUCAGUCCCAGCCUGGAGGCACGUGUGCGGGACAUCGCCAUCGCCACCAGGAACACCAAGAGGAACAAGAGCGUGUACAGGAACAUCCUGAUGCACGGGCCGCCCGGGACCGGGAAGACUCUGUUUGCCAAGAAACUUGCUCUGCACUCGGGCAUGGACUAUGCCAUCAUGACGGGCGGGGACGUGGCCCCCAUGGGGCGGGACGGCGUGACCGCCAUGCACAAGGUCUUUGACUGGGCCAACACCAGCCGGCGAGGCCUCCUGCUCUUCGUGGAUGAAGCAGACGCCUUCCUCAGGAAGAGAGCGACUGAGAAGAUAAGCGAGGACCUUCGGGCCACUCUGAAUGCCUUCCUGCACAGGACGGGACAGCACAGUAGCAAGUUCAUGCUGGUCCUGGCCAGCAACCAGCCCGAGCAGUUUGACUGGGCCAUCAACGACCGCAUGGACGAGAUGGUCCACUUCACCCUGCCGCGGCGGGAGGAGCGGGAGCGCCUGGUGAGGAUGUAUUUUGACAAGUAUGUUCUGAAGCCGGCGACGGAGGGAAAGCAAUGUCCCAACCCUCCGUGGGGCUAUGCAGGCCUCUGGUCUUGCCCUGGGUCCUGUGGUGCAUCACUGGGGACCUGUCCUCACCAGGCGCUUGAAGCUGGCCCAGUUUGACUAUGGCAAGAAGUGCUCAGAGGCCGCGCGCCUGACGGAGGGCAUGUCGGGCCGGGAGAUCUCCCAGCUCGCUGUGGCGUGGCAGGCCAUGGCAUACACCUCUGAGGACGGGGUCCUCACCGAGGCCAUGAUGGAUGCUCGGGUGCAGGACGCCAUUCAGCAACACCGGCAGAAGAUGCAGUGGCUGCAGGCGGAGGGUGAUGGGUCCGAGGGUGGCCAGCCCCUGCCCCCCAGGACACAGGCCCAGUGAGCCUGGGCACCUGGGCUUGCUGACCUGGCAGGGGUUCCUGUGUCUCCUGGUGACUGCCCACCUCCCCAGCAUUUUGAACACAUCUCUAGUCAGGGUUGGGGCAGCCCUGAAGGCCUCAGUCAGGAGAGCUGCGGCAGUGGGCCUGGUUCCUUGGUCCCCCAGUCUGUCCCCCCCAGGCUGUGAGCCUGGCUGGGGAGGGUCAGGCCAGGCCCAGAAAUGAAGAGAAGGCACUACUCUGUGCCCAGGGACAGUGGCUGAGCUGCUGUGCCCAGCAGUCGUGGGCUGGUAUGGUGGGGCCUGGUCUCACCCAGGCCCGUGCUGCUCACCAGCGUCAUCCAUCACUACUCAGGACAGGGAGGUGCCCACACACUUUGUGACAAACCCAGGGGCCGAGAACUAUGAGCAACUCAAGCCUGAGACCAGCUGGUCACCUGGCCAGGGCAGACUGGUGCUGGGAGAGAACCCUGGCCCAGAAGAACCAUAGCCUUCCACUGGAGUGGGGUCUUUUUAUCCAGAAUCUAAUAAAAACUAUGAACGAAACACC